AUCGUGAGGCACGAACGCCUCUGUUUCUUAGAGAAGAAACAGGGGCAGAAAACUUGCUCCCCUCUGUACAGUUUCUGUUCUUGCGUCUUGUUGUGUUGAGCCUGUGCUUUGGGGAGAGGGGAAAUUGGAAUCCCCUAAGCUGGAGUUCCGAAGGAGUGCCAGCAAUCUCUCCGGCCUGUUUCAGCGUUUCUUCCUUUUUUUAUUUCUGCUUGUUUAUUUCUAGUCCCCCUCUAUUCGUGGCUCUCUUUUUUUCCAUUCGUUUCUGUGAUUCCUUUUUUUCUCUGCUCCCUCUCUGUCUCCUGGAUUUUUUUUUCUUUUCGGUCGCUCACAGUUUUUCUUUUCUUUUCUCCCCCGGUUCUGUGAGUUCCCCCCCUCGGUUCUGUCCCUCUCUCUACUGUCUUUUUUUUCUUUCCUGUGGCCUUUCGUUCUCUGGCUUUUAU
rnacentral:lncRNA from 1 species